UACGGGAGGCAGCAGUGGGGAAUAUUGCACAAUGGGCGCAAGCCUGAUGCAGCCAUGCCGCGUGUAUGAAGAAGGCCUUCGGGUUGUAAAGUACUUUCAGUCGUGAGGAAGGUGUUAAGGUUAAUAACCUUAGCAAUUGACGUUAGCGACAGAAGAAGCACCAGCUAACUCCGUGCCAGCAGCCGCGGUAAUACGGAGGGUGCGAGCGUUAAUCGGAAUUACUGGGCGUAAAGGGCACGCAGGCGGUUAAUUAAGUUGGAUGUGAAAUCCCCGGGCUUAACCUGGGAAUGGCAUUCAAGACUGGUUAGCUAGAGUCUUGUAGAGGGGGUAGAAUUCCAUGUGUAGCGGUGAAAUGCGUAGAGAUGUGGAGGAAUACCGGUGGCGAAGGCGGCCCCUGGGACAAAGACUGACGCUCAUGUGCGAAAGCGUGGGGAGCAAACGAGGAUUAGAUACC
rnacentral:rRNA from 1 species